CAAAGUUUUGAUUUACAAGUAGCUAAAACGACCAAGCUUAUAUUUGCUUGAUUCACUUCUAAAAGAGAAUAAGAAUGUCCU